rnacentral:lncRNA from 1 species
UGCUACCUCUGGUGAGGGUCUUUAUGAGGGCUUGGACUGGCUCUCCAAUAAUAUUGCUAACAAGGUAAAGAUGAAUGACUUUCUGCUCAACAAAAAUUAUGUGCAUUGAGUAUGUAAUAAUAAGCUACCAAUCUAUUGGAACUGCCAAUUUUCAUGUCUGCAAGUCAAGAAUUUUGUGUAAUGAUCAUGCUGUAUGGUGUCAAUGGUUAGGCAACUGCAAUGAAUUUCUAGUUUUAUAAUAUAUGCAUUUUCCAAUUCUCCAUGCAAUUGUCAUUGCUCCAUUUCUGUUUAAAAUUCUCUGGUGAUUGAGAAAAUGGUAAAGAUAAUGAAUUGCUCUAUUUAGUAAGUUUGAGUUUUUAAUGGAAUAUUGUCCUUUUUUCCCAACGUCGUAAUUGGACUUGUACCAUCAUUUCUUGCAGGCGUGAAACAAACGAUGAGACUUUUUGUGGAUUGAGAAUUCUGGAUGCAGGGUGAAUAUUAUCUAGUGAUUUUGAUUUUCUUUUUGAGAGAACUGGAUUGUGUUUACAUUCCUUUCCUUUUUGGGAUGAUCCUUA